CCAGAAGUCUAGGCGGCCGCGUCCCUGUGAAGGGUCGAGGAAAGUCCGGGCUCCAAGGAUUGACGGUGGCGGGUAACGCCCGCCGGGGGCGACCCCAGGGACAGUGCCACAGAAAGCAGACCGCCUUCCGGCCUUUCGGGGUGAGGGCAAGGUCGAAAGGGUGCGGCAAGAGCGCACCGCGCGGCUGGCAACAGGCGCGGCACGGCAAACCCCACCGGGAGCAAGACCGAAUAGGCGCGCGGUGCUUCGCUUCGGCGGGCAGGCCUGAUCCGGCUGACGCGUGCGGGUUGGUUGCUGGAGGUGCGUGGCGACGCGCAUCCGAGAUGAAUGGUCGCCGCCCGAGAGGGAACAGAACCCGGCUUACGGGCUUCUGGCACA
rnacentral:RNase_P_RNA from 1 species